CCUACGGGUGGCAGCAGUGAGGAAUAUUGGUCAAUGGACGAGAGUCUGAACCAGCCAAGUAGCGUGAAGGAUGACUGCCCUAUGGGUUGUAAACUUCUUUUAUAUGGGAAUAAAAUGUUCCACGUGUGGGCUUUUGUAUGUACCCUAUGAAUAAGGAUCGGCUAACUCCGUGCCAGCAGCCGCGGUAAUACGGAGGAUCCGAGCGUUAUCCGGAUUUAUUGGGUUUAAAGGGAGCGUAGGUGGAUUGUUAAGUCAGUUGUGAAAGUUUGCGGCUCAACCGUAAAAUUGCAGUUGAAACUGGCAGUCUUGAGUACAGUAGAGGUGGGCGGAAUUCGUGGUGUAGCGGUGAAAUGCUUAGAUAUCACGAAGAACUCCGAUUGCGAAGGCAGUUCACUGGACUGCAACUGACACUGAGGCUCGAAAGUGUGGGUAUCAAACAGGAUUAGAUACCCCUGUAGUC
rnacentral:rRNA from 1 species